UACGUAGGCAGCGAGCGUUGUUCGGAGUUACUGGGCGUAAAGGGUGUGUAGGCGGUUCUCUAAGUUUGGUGUGAAAACUCCCGGCUCAACUGGGAGGGUGCACCGAAAACUGGAGGGCUAGAGUACGGGAUGGGAGAGUAGAAUUCCUGGUGUAGCGGUGAAAUGCGUAGAUAUCAGGAGGAAUACCGGGGGUGUAGACGGCUCUCUGGACCGUAACUGACGCUGAGAAACGAAAGCGUGGGUAGCAAACAGG
rnacentral:rRNA from 1 species